rnacentral:tRNA from 1 species
GGGACAGUAGCUCAAUUUGGGAGAGCGCUGGCUUUGCAAGCCGGGCCUGUUGUGGGAUCGUGCCCCACCUGUUCCA